CAGCCAAUACGAAAUGCUCGAAAAACGGCCGUGCUUAAAGGAUGCCCUCAGCGUCGAGGAACAUGUGUUAGGGUGUAUGUGCGGCUCGUUCAGAUCAUGACUUCAAACAAAUAUUAA
rnacentral:rRNA from 1 species